rnacentral:pre_miRNA from 1 species
UACCCUGUAGAUCGAGCUGUGUGUUCUGAAGUAUCAUACACGAGCUAGACUACUAGGUGAA